AUUGAACGCUGGCGGCAGGCCUAACACAUGCAAGUCGAACGAGUGGCGGACGGGUGAGUAAUGUCUGGGAAACUGCCUGAUGGCGGGGGAUACCUACUGGAAACGGUAGCUAAUACCGCAUACCAUCGGAUGUGCCCAGAUUGGAUUAGCUAGUAGGUGGGGUAACGGCUAACCUAGGCGACGAUCCCUAGCUGGUCUGAGAGGAUGACCAACCACACUGGAACUGAGACACGGUCCAGACUCCUACGGGAGGCAGCAGUGGGGAAUCUUGCACAAUGGGCGAAAGCCUGAUGCAGCCACGCCGCGUGUAUGAAGAAGGCCUUCGGGUCGUAAAGUACUUUCAGCGGGGAGGCGUUACCCGCAGAAGAAGCAACGGCUAACUCCGUGCCAGCAGCCGCGGUAAUUC
rnacentral:rRNA from 1 species